AUCUUGCAAACCUUCUACAUCUACCGCUGAACACACUUCUAUUUGUACUAGAUGUAGAGAUGUUAACAUUGAUGCUAUUCAUGAUCACAUGACUUUAAUUAAACAACAAAAUGAUCAUAUAGCAAAAUUAGAUGCUAAAAUUGCCGAGCAUAACUUAGAGAACGAAAAAUUUAAAUUUGCUCGUAGCAUGCUUUAUAGUGGGAGACGCCCUGGCAUUAAGGAUGGCAUUGGCUUCCAACAGGGAGGCAAUGUCAAACUUAAUGCCCCUCCUAAGAAAUUGUCUAAUUUUGUUAAGGGCAAGGCUCCCAUGCCUCAGGAUAACAAGGGUUACAUUUUGUACCCUGCCGGUUAUCCUGAGAGCAAAAUUAGGAGAAUUCAUUCUAGGAAGUCUCACUCUGGCCCUAACCAUGCUUUUAUGUAUAAGGGUGAGACAUCUAGUUCUAGGCAACCAACCCGUGCUAAGUUGCCUAAGAAGAAAACUCCUAGUGCAUCAAAUGAUCAUGACAUUUCAUUUAAAACCUUUGAUGCAUCAUAUGUGUUAACUAACAAAUCCGGCAAGGUAGUUGCCAAGUAUGUUGGGGGCAAGCACAAGGGGUCAAAGACUUGUGUUUGGGUACCCAAAGUUCUUGUUUCUAAUGCUAAAGGACCCAAAACCAUUUGGGUACCUAAAGUCAAGAACUAAACAUGUUUUGUAGGUUUAUGCAUCCGGGGGCUCAAGUUGGAUCAUCGAUAGCGGGUGCACAAACCACAUGACAGGGGAGAAGAAGAUGUUCUCCUCCUACGAGAAAAACCAAGAUCCCCAACGAGCUAUCACAUUCGGGGAUGGAAAUCAAGGUUUGGUCAAAGGUUUGGGUAAAAUUGCUAUUUCACCUGACCAUUCCAUUUCCAAUGUUUUUCUUGUAGAUUCUUUAGAUUACAAUUUGCUUUCCGUUUCUCAAUUAUGUCAAAUGGGCUACAACUGUCUUUUUACUGAUAUAGGUGUCACUGUCUUUAGAAGAAGUGAUGAUUCAAUAGCAUUUAAGGGAGUGUUAGAGGGUCAGCUAUACUUGGUAGAUUUUGAUAGAGCUGAUCUCGACACUUGCUUAAUUGCUAAGACUAACAUGGGUUGGCUAUGGCACCGCCGACUAGCCCAUGUUGGGAUGAAGAAUCUUCAUAAGCUUCUAAAGGGAGAACACAUUUUAGGAUUAACAAAUGUUCAUUUUGAGAAAGACAGGAUUUGUAGCGCUUGCCAAGCAGGGAAGCAAGUUGGCACUCAUCAUCCACACAAGAACAUAAUGACGACCGACAGGCCACUGGAGCUCCAACACAUGGAUCUAUUCGGCCUGAUUGCUUACAUAAGCAUCGGCUGGAGUAAGUACUGUCUAGUUAUUGUGGAUGAUUAUUCUCGCUUCACUUGGGUAUUCUUUUUACAGGAAAAAUCUCACACCCAAGAGACCUUAAAGGGAUUCUUGAGAUGGGCUCAAAAUGAGUUCGGCUUAAGGAUUAAGAAAAUUCGAAGCGACAACGGGACGGAGUUCAAGAACUCUCAAAUCGAAAGUUUUCUUGAGGAGGAGGGCAUCAAGCAUGAGUUCUCUUCUCCAUACACACCACAACAAAAUGGCUCUCAAGUAGAGCAAGUUGAUCUUGAUGGGAUAGGUGAUGAAGAGGCUCCGUGCAUCGCGCUAAGGAACAUGUCCAUUGGGGAUGUGUGUCCUAAGGAAUCCGAAGAGCCUCCAAAUGCACAAGAUCAACCAUCCUCCUCCACACAAGCAUCUCCACCAACUCAAAAUGAGGAUGAGGCUCAAGUUGAUGAAGGACAAGAUCAAGAAGAUGAGCCACCUCAAGAUGACGACAAUGAUCAAGGGGGAGAUACAAAUGAUCAAGAUAAGGAGGAUGAGGAACCAAGGCCGCCACACCCAAGAGUCCACCAAGCAAUCCAACGAGAUCACCCCGUCGACACCAUCCUCAGGGACAUUCAUAAGGGGGUAACCACUAGAUCUCGUGUUACACAUUUUUGUGAGCAUUACUCUUUUGUUUCCUCUAUUGAGCCACACAGGGUAGAGGAAGCACUUCAAGAUUCAGAUUGGGUGAUGGCGAUGCAAGAGGAGCUCAACAACUUCACUAGGAAUGAGGUAUGGCAUUUAGUUCCACGUCCUCUAUUGACCCUAAGGAAGCUCACCUUACGGCCAUAAAACGAAUCUUGAGAUAUUUGGUUUAUACUCCUAAGUUUGGGCUUUGGUAUCCUAGGGGAUCCACUUUUGAUUUGAUUGGUUAUUCCGAUGCCGAUUGGGCGGGGUGUAAAAUUAAUAGAAAGAGCACAUCAGGGACUUGCCAGUUCUUGGGAAGAUCCUUGGUGUCUUGGGCCUCAAAGAAGCAAAAUUCCGUAGCUCUUUCUACCGCCGAAGCCGAGUAUAUUGCCGCAGGUCAUUGUUGCGCGCAAUUGCUUUGGAUGAGGCAAACCCUUAGGGACUAUGGUUACAAAUUAACCAAAGUUCCUCUUCUAUGUGAUAAUGAGAGUGCAAUCCGCAUGGCGGAUAAUCCCGUUGAGCAUAGCCGCACCAAGCACAUAGCCAUUCGGUAUCAUUUUAUAAGGGAUCACCAACAAAAGGGAGAUAUCGAGAUUUAAUACAUUAAUACUAAAGAUCAAUUAGCCGAUAUCUUUACCAAGCCUCUUGAUGAACAAACCUUUAUCAAACUAAGGCAUGAGCUAAAUAUUCUUGAUUCUAGGAACUUCUUUUGUUGAUUUGCACACAUAGCUCUUUUAUAUAUACCUUUGAUCAUAUCUCUUUCAUGUGCUAUGACUAAUGUGUUUUCAAGUGGAAUUCAAAUCAAGUCAUAGGUGUAUUGAAAGGGAAUUGGAGUCUUCGGCGAAGACAAAGGCUUCCACUCCGUAACUCAUACUUCGCCAUCACUCCGAGCAACUCUCCAUCUUUGAGGCUCUGAAACUCGCCAGCCUCGGGAAGUCGCUCCGCUAUAAUUCACCGGACUGUCCGGUGUACACCGGACUGUCCGGUGAGCCAGCGGAGCAACGGCUACUUCGCGCCAACGGUCACCUGCAUGCGCAUUUAAUACGCGCCAGAAGCGCGCAGAAGUCAGGCACGCGCGCGCUGGCACACCGGACAUCCAGGCGGGCCCAGGAGACAGAGCUCCAACGGUCAGAACCCAACGGCCUUGGUGACGUGGCUGGCGCACCGGACAUGUCCGGUGUGCACCGGACUGUCCGGUGCACCAUGCGACAGACAGCCCCACCAAACGGCUAGUUUGGUGGUUGGGGCUAUAAAUACCCCCAACCACCCCACAUUCAAGUCAUCCAAGUUUUCCCACUUCAACUACUUACAAGAGCUCUAGCAUUCAAUUCUAGACACACCCAAGUGAUCAAAUCCUCUCCAAACUCCACACAACGCCUUAGUGAUUAGUGAGAGAGAUUUGCUUGUGUUCUUUCGAGCUCUUGCGCUUGGAUUGCUUUCUUCUUUCUUUGAUUCUUCAUUGCGAUCAAACUCACUUGUAAUAGAGGCAAGAGACACCAAUCUUGUGGUGGUCCUUGUGGGAACUUUGUGUUCCAAGUGAUUGAGAAGAAAAGCUCACUCGGUCCAAGGGACCGUUUGAGAGAGGUAAAGGGUUGAAAGAGACCCGGUCUUUGUGACCACCUCAACGGGGAGUAGGUUUGCAAGAACCGAACCUCGGUAAAACAAAUCCGCGUGUCACACCUCUUAUUUGCUUGCGAUUUGUUUUGCACCCUCUCUCGCGGACUCAAUUAUAUUUCUAACGCUAACUCGGCUUGUAGUUGUGAUUAUUUUGAGAAUUUCAGUUUCGCCCUAUUCACCCCCCUCUAGGCGACUUUCACGUAGCCCUCUUCACCUCUCUUUGACUCUACUUCGUCUAGAGGCGUCUUGAGUGGUGUGUCGAUUACAAGACAAACCCUAGGAUCUCUCCUCCCCGACGGGGUUUCUCCUGGGAUUAGAUUCAGGUGUUGUUGGCGAACGUCGCCGCCUCUGCGUACAUGCGAACCGUCCGACCACCAAGUAAGGAUCAUCUGGCUCGGUGUAGAGAAGAUUCAGCUCUUGCCGCAGGUCGCGGACCGUCCGGCCCUAGGCCACGGACCAUCCGCACUGUCGCAAAGAGCACCGUCGUCGGUACACCUCGCAAUGAUUGGCGUCCAGAUCGGUGCCAACAUAAUGUUUCAACUUAUGAACUUAUUUGUUGUAUUGUGCUACUGCUAUUGAUUUAGGUGUUUGGUUAUAACAACCAGCAAUGUACUCGAGUCGUCGUAGUGUAGUCGUGGCACCAUGAAAUGGUGAAUUGUCAUGCAUGUUGAAACUUUAAAGGCUUACAUAUAAUAUAUCAUCUAUACCCCUAUAUAACACACUAGUUUCAACUUUGCAAACCCCACUUAACCAAAUCACUCCCCGCAUCCCUAAACUCUCCUAAAUCCACUAAACGAAUUGCACCCACACAUAACACACCAUCAAAACCAACAGUUCAGAUCGCUAGAUAACACUCAUCUCUCUUACUCACUCAAAUCAAAUAACCAAUGUUAUUUGGAUCAUUCUUACUCCCUCAUCCCUCACAUGCACAGUAACCCAUGCCUCCGUACCCUUGCGACUACGCCACCCCCUCUUCCUCUCCCUAACAUGCGUCGUCGCCGCCACCGGCCCCUCCCUCGCGCUGUCGCUGGCGCCUCCCCCUCCCCUCCUCGAGACCAUAACGUUAGCACGCACAAACACAACUAGUAUUUUUGUAAGGUCAUGGUAUUGUUGCGUUGUGUUGAGUUGAACGUUUAUCGUCAUCUCGUUGCUCCUAGUUUUCGUUUUCCCAAUCGACAAUACAUUACCAGUCCCGAUUUCGGAUAAAAAUAUGGAUUUAAAGUGGUUGAAGGGGUUUUGAUAGUUCCCGUCCAUUUUCAUCCCUAAAACUAUUAUAACGUCUUAAGGGGCUUUGUAUAUCUUACAUCUUAUUUUAAACUUUACUAUAUAAAUAAUACAAUUUUUUAUUUAAAAUUCUAGUAUAAAAGCAAUAUAGACUGCAGUAUAUAACAGUACAGUCUACGGUCUGCCGGCCACAACCUAAAAAGGCUAUUUGUGGGCUUAUCAAAUUCUAUGCUCUUUUUUUUAAAAAAAACUCGUAAUGCUUUUGGCCGUGUUUGUUUCAUCUUUUUACAACUUUUGGUCACCAAAAGUUGCUACGGACUGCCAAAACACUCAGGUUUUCAGCCAGCUUAUAUAAAAUUUGAUUUGUUAAAAAGCAUCCAAAAUCAAUAUAAACACAUAAUCGGUCGAGUCGUUGGAAUAGUAGAGAUCCGUCACUUUCUAGAUUGUGAACCAUAUAGAUACAUUUAUCUUCUCCGCACGUAAUUUCAACGAUACUUAAAAUUUCUUUACAGCCAAAUUUUUCUAUAGCUAGAUUCUUAGAAAAGCUGGUCAGAAAAAAAUUGAACCAAACAAGUUCUUGAUGUCUCGAAUGGUAAAACAAAGGUUGCAUGCCACUCAAAACGAUCUCGUGUAUUUGUAGAUCCUCCUCGACCUUAGAGCAUCUCCAAUAGUUAUGUAAACAACUCCCUAAAUAUAAAUUUAAGAAGUUUUUGGGCAAAACUCUUCUCCAACAGUUAUGUAAAGUAGGUCCUUAAAGUUACAAACUCCCUACAAAACCCAAUUUCGUCCCUACAUUUACGAAUCUCGUUGGGACUCCCUAAAUCAAUGUUGGUUCUAAAUCCAUCGCGAAAAUCAUAUUUAAGGCACCGUUUUGUGUCGUCCCACCAUCCCAUUGACCACAAAUCUAUCUCCAGUGUCAUGUGUUGUCUUUAUGCCGUCGCCGCAACCUUCUGGUCUUCCAUCGACAACUUCGACCUUCCAAGAUAUUAUGGAAGAUUGUUGAUACGCUAGCUUAAUUAAAAAUAGAAAGCAUGCUCACUUUUUUGUUGAUAUAUACAAUUUUAAAAAUUAGCAAUCAAUAAAUAGAGAACUGUUGGAGCACACACAUUUUUCUACUCCUUAAAGUGAUUUAACAACUUUUUAAAUCUAUAAUUUAAGGUGCUAAAUUUACAUAACUAUUGGAGAUGCUCUUAAAGGCUGUAUAUAAUUGGAUAGUAUAUACACAGUUGAACGAAAAAAAAGGAAAAGUAAAAGAGUAAAAGCAAGAACUAAAAUCUUAGCACCACACUCGCAAGUCCAGUCUUUGAAUGUCGAGGCUUAUCCAACGACAUCACCAUCGUCUCUUCCCGUCCCCGCCAUGGCCACCGUCCGCUCCACCCUCCCACCCAGUCUCCCACCGCCAUCCCCAUCUUCACCUCCCGCUCACACCCUCGCGGCCACCUCCCGCCACCGCAAGCCUCUCACCACGACCGCAGCCGGGCAGGCGGCCCUCCAGCCAUCCGAAGCGGCGGCGCUCCUCACGGCCGCAGCGCGCGCCCGCGACAUCCACCUGGGCCGUGCACUCCAAGGCCACCUCCUCCGCACCGGGUCACUCCUCGAGACCGACGCCGUCGUCGCCAACUCGCUCCUCACGCUCUACUCCAAGUGCAGCGCCGUGGCCGCCGCGCGCAGCGUGUUCGACGGAAUGCCCGUCGGCCUGCGGGACCUCGUCUCCUGGACGGCCAUGGCGUCCUGCCUCUCGCGAAAUGGCGCUGAGGCGGAGGCGCUCCGCCUUUUCGGUGAGACGCUCGAGGAGGGUCUCCUGCCGAACGCGUUCACGCUGUGCGCCGCAACCCAGGCUUGCUUCGCCAGCGAGCUCUUCCACUUGGCUGGUGGCGCGGUUCUUGGUUUGGUAUUCAAGCUGGGUUUCUGGGGCACUGACGUCUCGGUGGGUUGCGCUCUGAUCGACAUGUUCGCGAAGAAUGGGGAUUUGGUGGCGAUGCGCCGGGUGUUUGAUGGAUUGUUCGAGAGGACGGUUGUCGUCUGGACAUUGUUGAUUACACGGUAUGCGCAGAGUGGUUAUUCUGAUGAGGCUGUAGAAUUGUUUCUUGACAUGCUGGAGAACGGAUUUCAGCCGGACCAGUACACCUUGAGCAGUAUGUUAUCAGCUUGUACAGAGUUGGGAUCAUUCAGGUUGGGGCAGCAACUGCACUCUCUAGCGCUCAGGCUUGGACUGGAAUCAGACAGUUGCGUGAGCUGUGGGCUUGUGGACAUGUAUGCAAAGUCUCACAAUGGACAGUCCUUGCACAAUGCGAGAGAAGUCUUCAAUCGGAUGCCAAAGCAUAAUGUGAUGGCGUGGACGGCACUUUUGUCAGGGUAUGUGCAGCGUGGAUCGCAGGACAACCAGGUUAUGAUACUGUUUUGCAAGAUGUUAAAUGAAGGCAUCAGACCAAACCAUAUCACAUAUUCUAGUAUGCUUAAGGCAUGUGCAAACCUUGGUGAUCAAGAUUCAGGCAGGCAAAUUCAUACUCAUUGCGUCAAAUCUAACCUAGCUGACUUAAAUGUUGUUGGGAAUGCUUUAGUAAGCAUGUAUGCUGAAUCUGGUUCCAUAGAGGAAGCUAGACAUGCGUUCGACCAGCUAUAUGAAAAGAACAUGGUAUCCUUCAGCGGCAAUUUAGACGGAGAUGGGAGGAGCAACACUUAUCAAGAUUAUCAGAUUGAAAGAAUGGAGUUAGGAAUCAGCACUUUCACAUUUGGUAGUCUGAUCAGUGCUGCCGCUAGUGUAGGGAUGCUAACCAAAGGCCAGCGGCUGCAUGCCCUCUCACUGAAGGCUGGAUUUGGGUCAGAUAGAGCCAUAGGAAACUCUCUUGUAUCUAUGUAUUCUAGGUGUGGAUACCUAGUAGAUGCUUGCCAAGUCUUUGAUGAAAUGAAUGACCAUAAUGUGAUCUCAUGGACUUCAAUGAUCAGUGGUUUGGCAAAACAUGGGUAUGCAGCAAGAGCUCUGGAAUUGUUUCACGAUAUGAUCGCAGCUGGGGUGAAACCAAAUGAUGUCACGUACAUUGCUGUUUUAUCUGCAUGUAGCCAUGCCGGUCUAGUUAAAGAAGGGAAGGAACACUUUAGAAUGAUGCAGAAGCAUCAUGGACUCAUACCAAGGAUGGAGCAUUAUGCUUGCAUGGUUGAUCUCCUUGGGCGAUCAGGCCUUGUUGAAGAUGCACUAGAUUUUAUCAACGAAAUGCCUUGUCAAGUAGACGCAUUGGUCUGGAAGACACUUCUUGGUGCCUGUAAGACCCACAACAACAUGGAUAUUGGUGAGAUUGCUGCUAACCAUGUCAUACAGCUCGAACCACAAGAUCCAGCCCCCUAUGUCUUGCUUUCCAACUUAUACGCAGAGGCUGGUUUGUGGGAUCAAGUAGCUAGGAUAAGGAGUCUAAUGAGGGAUAAAAACUUGAUGAAAGAAAAAGGGUUGAGCUGGAUGCAUGUUGACAAUACCAUUCACGAGUUUCGAGCUGGUGAUACCAGCCAUCCACAAGCAGAGGAGAUCUAUACAAAGUUGGAGACACUGAUAAGAGAAAUCAAAGUCAUGGGCUAUGUACCAGACACCAGCGUAGUGCUCCAUGACAUGUCGGAUGAGCUUAAGGAACUGUGUCUGCUUCAGCACAGCGAGAAGAUUGCUGUUGCAUUCGGUUUGAUCAGUUGUACAUCAGCAACAAAGCCAAUAAGGAUAUUUAAGAACCUCCGUGUAUGCGUUGAUUGUCAUUCAGCACUCAAGUAUGUCUCCAAGGCCACCGGUAGGGAGAUAAUAUUGAGAGAUAGCAACAGAUUCCACAGGAUGAAGGAUGGGGAAUGCUCGUGCGGAGAAUACUGGUAACAAGCAAGCUAGCUAGCUCACGUAGUCACGUUUAGCUGAAGAGCCAUGUACAGAGUUCUGGCGCACCACAACAUUAUUGACAGUGAGUGUCCAUGUUCAUAUUUUCUGUAGGACCUUCACAAAAUCAUAGUUUAUACAAAGCAUGAGUUGUUGUGAUAGUUUAUACUUUAUACUAGGGUCAGAGUUUGUACAGUUGUAUGCACUCUCCUAUCACCAUAAAUGCAAAUUGUUUUGAGUGGUCAAACUUUUUUGGCUUUACCAUCAAUAUGGUAAGACUGGCAUCGCAAGAUGAAAGCAGAAUUUUCAGAACCUAAUUGCCGACUGCAGGUGAUGAAAACAACUUUCAUGUAAUUUUCAUUGCGAAUCAAGAUAAACAUGUCCAAAAUAGACAAGAUAAACUGUCAUAUCUGCAUGCUCUUUAAUACCAUUUUAUUGAUAAAUGAACAUAAAACUGGUUGUACAUGAGUUUUGUUGAAGUGUAUAAGUAGAUUGACUAUCUUAUCCCAAAACCUUAAACUUUAAUUAUUUCAAUUGGUCAGUGCGUUCACUGUAACAUAGUAUCGAAGCCAGAUGUCUUAAGUUCGAAUCAUGACAGAGAUUUUGUUUUAAGUUCGAAUCCUGGCAGAGAUUUUGUUUGUGUCUUCAUCCAUUUAUUUCCACGUUUACACAUUUCUCUCUGGUUGCACGUAAGUGGAGGUGUUGAAGUGUAUAAUUGGAUUGACUAGCUUCUCACAUCAACUUAAGCUUUUGAGUUGUACUGGUUAGUGUGUCCACUCUAACAAGUUUAAACAUACAAUGCAGCCAUGAAAGCUUGUAAAUCAUUACACGAUUAUAAACCAUAACAGGCUUGUAGACUCAGGCAAUUCUUUCAUUGAAUUGAAGUUUGAUUAAAAAAAGGCACAGAAUGGGUGCGGUAAGGAACUAAGGAUAUACACCCAUGAAAUUGUUUACAUGGACAACGGUAGACCACAAUGAACUUCUAGUUACAAAGCGCCAAAAGGCUGAAGGCUGUAAAGGUUUCACGUGACCAAAAAGAAAUCCAGAAAAGAUAUUGAUUUCACAGAUGACUAGAUGAGAGAGCUGGAUUCAUUAUCAACUGAUGGGAGCCCAAUGCAAAUGGCAAAAUUAAUUGACUGGCCAUCUGUUUUGGCAAAUUUGCAGCAGGACUUUCUAACCAUAUGAUUGAUCACUUGUUUGAGCUUAAGAGGUAUUUGGUUUCUAGAGACUAAUUUUUAACCCUUCUAUUUUAGCUUCUUUCAGUCUCUAAAUCACCAAACAUAGAGACUAAAAUAGAGAUAAUUCAUCUUUUAGUACCUAUGUUUGACAAUUUAUACUAAAAUAGAGAGACUAAUAAUUAGUCUCUAUAAACCAAACACCCUCUAACUCUAGUUGUACUCCCUUAUUUCCAAAUUGUACUUCACUUUGGUUUCAUAAGUCAAUUUUUUUAAAAAUUUGACCAAGUUCAUUUUUUUAAAAAAAUUUAUUCGAAAGACGCUAAAAAUAUGUCUAGAGGUGUUUUCAAUUUUGUACUUUAAGAAAGUCAUCUUAGAAAAAAAACGACUUCCUGAUUUGAACCUUUUGUUUGACUUUUGGCUUUUAGGGACGAAGGCCAAAGCCAAAUGUGUUUGCAAUUGUGCACAUGUUGAUCACUUGUUUUUUAUUACUAAAUCAUAAAAUAAGGCAACACAGUUGUUAAACAUUAAAUACCUUCGUCCUUCGAAGCAUUAUCUCUUUUCGGGCAUAAUGGAUCUUGGACGAAGGUCAUGAAGAACAAGCCUUUAUCAUUCAUAAAUAUAAAAAUGUAGUUACAGAUAUAACAUUAUGCUGGUUAUUCAUUUCAUUUCAAAUAUUAAACAACAUCAAGAUCUAUAUCAUAUAUUGACAAAGUGAUACAUAAUGUUGUCGGGGACCAUAAUUAGGGGUACCCUCAAGACGCCUAAUUCUCAGCUGGUAACCCCCAUCAGCAUAAAGCUGCAAAGGCCUGAUGGGUACGAUUAAGUCAGGGAUCAGUCCACACGAGUGACUCGAUCACGCUUCACCCGAGCCUAGCCUCGGCCAAGGGCAGCCGACCUCGAGAGACUUCCGUCUCGCCCGAGGCCCCCCUUUUUACGGCGGACACAUCACCGGCUCGCCCAAGGCCUUGGCUUCGCUCAGAAGCAACCUUGACUAAAUCGCCACACCGACUGACCAAAUUGCAGGAGCAUUUAACUCAAAGGUGGCCUGACACCUUUAUCCUGACACGCGCCCCCGGCAGAGCCGAAGUGACCGCCGUCACUCCACCGCUCCACUGACCAGUCUGACAGAAGGACAGCGCCGCCUGCGCCACUCCGACUGCGGUGCCACUCGACAGAGUGAGUCUGACAGGCAGUCAGGCCUUGCCAAAAGCGCCACGGCGAACUCCGCUCCGCCCGACCCCAGGGCUCGGACUCGGGCUAAGACCCGGAAGACGGGGAACUCCGCUCCGCCCGACCCCAGGGCUCGGACUCGGGCUAAGACCCGGAAGACGGCGAACUCCGCUCCGCCCGACCCCAGGGCUCGGACUCGGGCUAAGACCCGGAAGACGGCGAACUCCGCUCCGCCCGACCCCAGGGCUCGGACUCGGGCUAAGACCCGGAAGACGGGGAACUCCGCUCCGCCCGACCCCAGGGCUCGGACUCGGGCUAAGACCCGGAAGACGGCGAACUCCGCUCCGCCCGACCCCAGGGCUCGGACUCAGGCUAAGACCCGGAAGACGGCGAACUCCGCUCCGCCCGACCCCAGGGCUCGGACUCGGGCUAAGACCCGGAAGACGGCGAACUCCGCUCCGCCCGACCCCAGGGCUCGGACUCGGGCUAAGACCCGGAAGACGACGAAACUCCGCCUCGCCCGACCCCAGGGCUCGAACUCGGGCUAAGACCCGGAAGACGACGAAACUCCGCCUCGCCCGACCCCAGGGCUCGGACUCCGCCCUGGCCUCGGCCGAACGACUUCCGCCUCGCCCGACCCCAUGGCUCGGGCUCGGCCUCGGCAACAGAGGACAGACUCAACCUCGGCUUCGGAGGAGCCCCCACGUCACCCUGCCUAGGGCACAGACCCGCCACGUCAACAGGAAGCGCCAUCAUCAUCCUACCCCGAAUCGACUCGGGUCACGGAGAACAAGACCGGCGUCCCAUCCGGCCUGCUCCGCCGGAUGGGCAAUAAUGGCGCUCCACAAACUCUAUGACGACGGCGGCCCCCCAGCUCUCUUACGGAAGCAGGACGACGUCAGCAGGGACUCGACCGCUCCAACAGCUGUCCCUCCGCCAGGCUCCGUCGCACCUCCGACCGCCACGACAUCACGCCAGCAAGGUGCCAAGACCUCUCCGGCUGCCACAUUGGCAUGUACCAAGGGCGCUAGUUCUCCUUCCGCUAGACACGUAGCACUCUGCUACACCCCCCAUUGUACACCUGGAUCCUCUCCUUACGACUAUAAAAGGGAGGACCAGGGCCUUCUUAGAGGAGGUUGGCCGCGCGGGACCGAGGACGGGACAGGCGCUCUCUUGGGGCCGCUCUCUUCCCUCACCCGCGUGGACGCUUGUAACCCCCCUACUGCAAGCGCACUUGACCUGGGCGCGGGACGAACACGAAGGCCGCGGGACUUCCACCUCUCUCACGCUCGACUCCGGCCACCUCGCCUCUCCCCCCUUUGCGCUCGCCCACGCGCUCGACCCAUCUGGGCUGGGGCACGCAGCACACUCACUCGUCGGCUUAGGGACCCCCCUGUCUCGAAACGCCGACAGUUGGCGCGCCAGGUAGGGGCCUGCUGCGUGCUGACGAACAGCUCCCCGUCAAGCUCCAGAUGGGCAGUCUCCAGCAACUUCUCCGGCCCGGGACGGUGCUUCAUUUCGGGACUCUUGAGUUCAUGUCCUUCGACGGCAGCUACGACAUGAUACUCCUUCCACUGCCGCGCGACGACGACAAUGGCGGCCGACAACCCGCCCGCCGGCGGCGGAAUCGACGACAUCUUCCCCGCGUGGUGGAAGAGCAACAUUCGGGCUCGCUCCGUUCCCUCCCCCGCCAACGGAGGAGGAGGCGGGGCCAUCAAGGCCAGGCGGGAGGCCGCGCUUCGUUGGCCGUCGAGCGAAUCGACGCCCCCGACGCCCCGACGGAGGGCACGCCGGACGUCGACCUCGCGUUCAAGACGAAAGCAAGCGCCGUCCCCCCGCGACGCGCUGACCCCGAACAAGAAGACGACGCCAGCGCGCUCGCGGAAAGCCUGCAGGACGUCGCCCUCGUACCUGAGAUGACGGUGCAACCAGUCCCCGAUGUGACUAUGUCGCUCCUCGUCGACCAAAAGGUACCAACUAACUCCCAUCUUGCGUCAUUUCGACUCGGCCUCAACCCGCCAAACGACCUCGUUUUGGCGGGCACUCUCAUUGAGGCGAGUGCAACCCCACUGGGGUUUCGUAUGUGGUCGCCUUGGGACCGGCUGACGGACGUCUCGACCUACGGGCCCUCUGGGUCCGAGGAAGAUGACGAUCCCAGCAUCUGUUGGGAUUUCUCCGGACUUGGCAACCCUAGUGCCGUGCGGGACUUCAUGACCGCAUGUGACUACUGCCUCUCCGACUGUUCCGACGGAAGCCGCAGCCUUGGCGACGAGAGCUGCGGCCCAAGCCGCGAAUGUUUCCACAUCGAGCUAGGGGAUCCCUCCGAAGGCAACCAUCUUGGCAUGCCGGAGGACGGUGAUCUCCCUAGGCCGGCGCCUCGCGCCGACAUCCCACGGGAGCUAGCUGUGGUCCCCGCUCCGGCGGGGGGUUACGACCCACAACUCGAGCAAGUCCGCGAGGCGCAGGCCAGGCUCAACGAGGGAACAGGAGCGCUUGAGCCGAUCCGUCGGGACGUCGGACAGGCAUGGGUGGGCCAACCCCUGGCUGGAGAAAUACGUCACCUGCCCCAAGGUCUCCAGCACCGCGUCGCCAACGAUGCCAGGGUCAGGCCGCCGCCCGCAUCCAGCGGGGUUGGUCAGAACCUGGCAGCCGCAGCGAUGCUCAUCCGCGCGAUGCCGGAGCCAUCAACCACCGAGGGUCGGCGAAUCCAGGGAGAGCUCAAGAAUCUCCUGGAAGGCGCUGCGGCCCGACGGGCCGAAAGCACUGCCUCCCGAAGGCAAGGAUAUCCCUCGGAACCUCACGCCGCGACUUCCCGAUUCAUGCGGGAAGCCUCGGUCUACACCGGGCGCACGCGCAACACCGCGCCUGCGGCCCCGGGCCACCUCGGCAACGAGCACCAUCGACGCGACCGUCGGGCUCACCUCGACGAAAGGGUGCGCCGAGGCUACCACCCCAGGCGUGGGGGGCGCUACGACAGCGGGGAGGAUCGGAGUCCCUCGCCCGAACCACCCGGUCCGCAGGCCUUCAGUCGGGCCAUCCGACGGGCGCCAUUCCCGACCCGGUUCCGACCCCCGACUACUAUCACGAAGUACUCGGGGGAAACGAGACCGGAACUGUGGCUCGCGGACUACCGCCUUGCCUGCCAACUAGGUGGGACGGACGACGACAACCUCAUCAUCCGUAACCUCCCCCUGUUCCUCUCCGACACUGCUCGCGCCUGGUUGGAGCACCUGCCUCCGGGGCAGAUCUCCAACUGGGACGACUUGGUCCAAGCCUUCGCUGGCAAUUUCCAGGGCACAUACGUGCGCCCCGGGAAUUCCUGGGACCUUCGAAGCUGCCGGCAACAGCCGGGGGAGUCGCUCCGGGACUACAUCCGGCGAUUCUCGAAGCAGCGCACCGAGCUGCCCAACAUCACCGACUCGGAUGUCAUCGGCGCGUUCCUCGCCGGCACCACUUGCCGCGACCUGGUGAGCAAGCUGGGUCGCAAGACCCCCACCAGGGCGAGCGAGCUGAUGGACAUCGCCACCAAGUUCACCUCUGGCCAGGAGGCGGUCGAGGCUAUCUUCCGAAAGGACAAGCAGCCCCAGGGCUGCCCAUCGGAAGAGGCUCCCGAGGCGUCUGCUCCGCGCGGCGCCAAGAAGAAAGGCAAGAAGAAGUCGCAAUCGAAACGCGACGCCGCUGACGCGGACCUUGUCGCCGCCGCCGAGUACAAGAACCCUCGGAAGCCCCCCGGAGGUGCAAACCUCUUCGACAAGAUGCUCAAGGAGCCGUGCCCCUACCAUCAGGGGCCCGUCAAGCACACCCUCGAGGAGUGCGUUAUGCUUCGGCGUCACUUCCACAGGGCCGGGCCACCCGCCGAGGGUGGCAGGGCCCGCGACGACGACAAGAACGAAGAUCACCCAGCAGGAGAGUUCCCCGAGGUCCGCGACUGCUUCAUGAUCUAUGGAGGGCACACGGCGAAUGCCUCGGCUCGGCAUCGCAAGCAAGAGCGCCGGGAGGUCUGCUCGGUGAAGGUGGCGGCGCCAGUCUACCUAGACUGGUCCGACAAGCCCAUCGCCUUCGACCAGGCCGACCACCCCGACCAUGUGCCGAGCCCGGGGAGAUACCCGCUCGUCGUCGACCCCGUCGUCGGCAAUGUCAGGCUCACCAAGGUCCUGAUGGAUGGGGCAGCUGCCUCAACAUCAUCUACGCCGAGACCCUCAAGCUCCUGCGCGUCGAUCUGUCCUCCGUCCGAGCAGGCGCUGCGCCCUUCCACGGGAUCAUCCCUGGGAAGCGCGUCCAGCCCCUCGGGCGACUCGACCUCCCCGUCUGCUUCGGGACGCCCUCCAACUUCCGAAGGGAGACCCUGACGUUCGAGGUGGUCGGGUUCCGAGGAACCUACCACGCCGUACUAGGGAGGCCAUGCUACGCGAAGUUCAUGGCCGUCCCCAACUACACCUACCUGAAGCUCAAGAUGCCGGGCCCCAACGGGGUCAUCACCGUCGGCCCCACGUACAAACACGCGUUCGAAUGCGACGUGGAGUGCGUGGAGUACGCCGAGGCCCUCGCCGAGUCCGAGGCCCUCAUCGCCGACCUGGAGAACCUCUCCAAGGAGGUGCCAGACGUGAAGCGCCAUGCCGGCAACUUCGAGCCAGCGGAGACGGUCAAGGCCGUCCCUCUUGACCCCGGUGGCGACACCGCCAAGCAGAUCCGGAUCGGUUCCGGGCUCGACCCCAAAUAGGAAGCAGUGCUCGUCGACUUUCUCCGCGCAAACGCCGACGUCUUUGCGUGGAGUCCCUCGGACAUGCCCGGCAUACCGAGGGAUGUCGCCGAGCACUCGCUGGAUAUUCGGGCCGGAGCCCGACCCGUCAGGCAGCCUCUGCGCCGAUUCGACGAGGAGAAGCGCAGAGUGAUUGGCGAAGAGAUCCACAAGCUAAUGGCAGCAGGGUUCAUCAAAGAGGUAUUCCAUCUCGAAUGGCUUGCCAACCCUGUGCUUGUGAGGAAGAAAGGGGGAAAUGGCGGAUGUGUGUAGACUACACUGGUCUCAACAAAGCAUGUCCGAAGGUUCCCUACCCUCUGCCUCGCAUCGAUCAAAUCGUGGAUUCCACCGCUGGGUGCGAAACCCUGUCCUUCCUCGAUGCCUACUCAGGGUAUCACCAGAUCCGGAUGAAAGAGUCAGACCAGCUUGCGACUUCCUUCAUCACGCCGUUCGGCAUGUACUGCUAUGUCACCAUGCCGUUCGGUUUGAGGAAUGCGGGCGCGACGUACCAGCGGUGCAUGAACCAUGUGUUCGGCGAACACAUCGGUCGCACAGUCGAGGCCUACGUCGAUGACAUCGUAGUCAAGACAAGGAAGGCUUCCGACCUCCUCUCCGACCUUGAAGUGACAUUCCGAUGUCUCAAGGCGAAAGGAGUCAAGCUCAAUCCCGAGAAGUGUGUCUUCGGGGUGCCUCGAGGCAUGCUCCUAGGGUUCAUCGUCUCCGAGCGAGGCAUCGAAGCCAACCCGGAGAAGAUCGCGGCCAUCACCAGCAUGGGACCCAUCAAGGACUUAAAAGGUGUACAGAGGGUCAUGGGAUGCCUCGCGGCCCUGAGCCGCUUCAUCUCACGCCUCGGCGAAAGAGGUCUGCCUCUGUACCGCCUCUUAAGGAAGGCCGAGUGUUUCGCUUGGACCCCUGAGGCCGAGGAAGCCCUCGGCAACCUGAAGGCGCUCCUUACGAAGGCGCCUGUCUUGGUGCCCCCGGCGGAUGGAGAAGCCCUCUUGGUCUACGUCGCCGCGACCACGCAGGUGGUUAGCGCCGCGGUUGUGGUCGAGAGGCAAGAGGAAGGGCAUGCAUUGCCCGUUCAGAGGCCGGUCUACUUCGUCAGCGAAGUGCUGUCCGAGACCAAGAUCCGCUACCCACAAGUUCAAAAGCUGCUGUAUGCUGUGAUCCUGACAAGGCGGAAGCUGCGACACUACUUCGAGUCUCAUCCGGUAACUGUGGUGUCAUCCUUCCCCCUGGGGAGAUCAUCCAGUGCCGAGAGGCCUCGGGCAGGAUCGCAAGGUGGGCGGUGGAAAUCAUGGGCGAAACAAUCUCGUUCGCCCCUCGGAAGGCCAUCAAGUCCCAGGUGUUGGCAGACUUCGUGGCCGAAUGGGUCGACACCCAGCUGCCGACGGCUCCGAUCCGACCGGAGCUCUGGACCAUGUUUUUCGACGGGUCGCUGAUGAAGACGGGAGCCGGCGCGGGCCUGCUCUUCAUCUCGCCCCUCGGAAAGCACUUGCGCUACGUGCUGCGCCUCCAUUUCCCGGCGUCCAACAAUGUGGCCGAGUACGAAGCUCUGGUCAACGGGUUGCGGAUCGCCAUCGAGCUAGGGGUCAGACGCCUCGACGCCCGCGGUGAUUCGCAGCUCGUCAUCGACCAAGUCAUGAAGAACUCCCACUGCCGCGACCCGAAGAUGGAGGCCUACUGCGACGAGGUUCGGCGCCUGGAAGACAAGUUCUUUGGGCUCGAGCUCAACCACGUCGCUCGGCGCUACAAUGAAACCGCAGACGAGCUGGCUAAAAUAGCCUCGGGGCGAACGACGGUCCCCCCGGACGUCUUCUCCCGGGAUCUGCAUCAACCCUCCGUCAAGCUCGACGACGCGCCCGAGCCCGAGGUACCCUCAGCUCAGCCCGAGGUACCCUCGGCACAGCCCGAGGUACCCUCGGCCCCCGAGGGCGAGACACUGGACGUCGAGGAAGAGCAGAGCGAGGCCACGCCAGAUCGAGAUUGGCAGGCCCCGUACCUGCAAUAUCUCCGUCGAGGAGAGCUACCCCUCGACCAAGUCGAGGCUCGGCGGGUAGCGCGACGCGCCAAGUCAUUCGUCUUGCUGGGCGACGAAGAGGAGCUCUACCAUCGCAGCCCCUCGGGCAUCCUCCAGCGAUGCAUCUCCAUCGCCGAAGGUCGGGAACUGCUGCAAGAAAUACACUCGGGGGCUUGCGGCCACCACGCAGCGCCCCGAGCCCUUGUCGGGAAUGCUUUCCGACAAGGCUUCUACUGGCCAACGGCGGUGGCUGACGCCACUAGAAUUGUCCGCACCUGCGAAGGGUGCCAAUUCUAUGCGAAGCAGACUCACCUGCCCGCUCAGGCUCUGCAGACGAUACCCAUCACCUGGCCCUUCGCUGUAUGGGGUCUGGACCUCGUCGGUCCCUUGUAGAAGGCGCCCGGGGGCUACACGCACCUGCUGGUCGCCAUCGACAAAUUCUCCAAGUGGAUCGAGGUCCGACCUCUGAACGGCAUCAGGUCCGAGCAGGCGGUGGCGUUCUUCACCAACAUCAUCCAUCGCUUCGGGGUCCCGAACUCCAUCAUCACCGACAACGGCACCCAGUUCACCGGCAAAAAAUUCCUGAAUUUUUGCGAGGAUCACCAUAUCCGGGUGGACUGGGCCGCCGUGGCUCAUCCCAUAUCGAAUGGGCAAGUAGAGCGUGCCAACGGCAUGAUUCUACAAGGGCUCAAGCCUCGGAUCUACAACGACCUCAACAAGUUCGGCAAGCGAUGGAUGAAGGAACUCCCCUCGGUGGUCUGGAGCCUAAGGACGACGCCGAGUCGUGCCACGGGCUUCACGCCGUUCUUCCUGGUCUACGGGGCUGAAGCUAUCUUGCCCACUGACCUGGAAUACGGCUCCCCGAGGACGAGGGCCUACACCGAUCAAAGCAACCAAGCUAGCCGAGAGGAAUCGCUGGACCAGCUGGAGGAGGCUCGGGACAGGGCCUUACUACACUCGGCGCGGUACCAGCAGUCCCUGCGACGCUACCACGCCCGAGGGGUCCGGUCCCGAGACCUCCAGGUGGGCGAUCUGGUGCUUCGGCUGCGGCAAGACGCCCGAGGGAGGCACAAGCUCACGCCCCCCUGGGAAGGGCCAUUCGUCAUCGCCAAAGUUCUGAAGCCCGGAACAUACAAGCUGGCCAACAAUCAAGGCGAGAUCUACGGCAACGCUUGGAACAUCAAACAGCUACGUCGCUUCUACCCUUAAGAUGUUUUCAAGUUGUUCAUAUACCUCGCACCCACGCAAAGUUUAGUCGUCAAGGAAGGGUCGACCUAGCCUCGGCAAAGCCCGACCCUCCCUCGGGGGCUAAAAGGGGGAAGACCCCCUCUGCGUCGAAUUUUUCCUCGAAAAAGGAUCUCUUUUUAGCAGGAUUUCUUUCGUACUUCUCGACUACUUCGAAAAGCGGAUCCUGGAAACGACGGAGUACACGUAAGCAGCCAAGGCUGACCGAGCCGAGGGACUCCUACGCCUCCGGGAUACGGAUACCUCACUCAUCACCUUCUGCGAUAAGUAACUCGCGCUCGGAUAAAGCGACUCCGUGGACCGAACAAGUCUUCACGUUCGGAAGCUCUCCUGCCGAAGCAGUCCCUCAAGCUUUCUCGACUAAGUCGGGGACAGGGCCUCAUGAACGGGUGAAAGUACGCGUAAGCGGCAAGGCCGACCGAGCCGAGGGAUUCCCACGCCUCUGGGAUACGGAUACCUCACUCGUCCCUUCCGCGAGAAGCAACUCUCGCUCACACAAACAUCCCCGUUACCGACAGAGUCCAGAUGCUCGAAACAAGAGGAAAAAAGACGCAGCUUCGCAAGCGCGGCGAGGGUGUGUUUUCUGGCCUCGGCGGCCGCAGAAGGCACACGCUACAAGACGGUCUGAUCCUGCAGGCUCGGGUCUUCACGCUGAAGGGAGCCGUAGCACCCUCGGCUUCGACGACGUCUUCAGCAAAGUCCGACCCAGCCUCGGACGGCGACACGGUCCAGGGACUCCUCCGGGAAUCCGGCCCGAGCAGGCGGCUCGGUCGGUUACCCCUGGGGCCUCGGCCGACCGGCUUCCAAGGGCGCCAGCCCGACCCGAGGCCUCGGCUGAUCGACUUUGGCGUCGGCUCCACUGACGGACAACACGGCUAGGCUCUGGCCAACCAGGUUCCCAUUCUCGAGCCAACUCCGCCUCUGUUCAUACUGAUAUCGCUACCCCUGGCCUCGGUCCAUCAAAGGGCGGCCGAGGGGUCUCUUUAACUAAGCUAGAGGAGCCCCAGACAACAAGGCCGAACGGGCCGAGGGAUUCCUACGCCUCCGGGAUACGGAUACCUCACUCAUCACCUUGACACGGGGCGACUCAUGCUUGGUAAAGCGGUUCAGAUAAUUAACAGGCGAGACUUAGUGCUCGAAAAUGAGGAAAAGACACGGCUCCGUGCCGAAAUUACAUACAUGUUCAGGCCCCGACAGCCGCAAUGAACAAAAAACACCGGCAUUCGAGAUGCCAUUACAAACGGAACUCCGGUUCCCCCUCCGCAGAUACGAACAACCCCACUCCGAGGGGGAAGGCCUGCGGAGCAACGGGAGGCCGACGGAUGGCGCGCCGUCACCUGCUCCAGCAGCGGCGACUACGACGACUUCUGCUCCGAGGGGCCAAGCAGCGGCAACGCUGACCUCAGGCUAGAUGCCGCUGCCAGGAGGCCCCCGCCCAUGCCAAAACUCGUAAGGCAAGGACGGGCAGAAGGCCGUAGAGUUGGAGGUCAGUCCGUGGCCGGCCCCGGCUAUCUCGCCGGCAGCAGAACCUCUUCAAGCUGCCAUGGCGGAUGCCGGCACCGUGAGCGGCCCCGAAGCCACUCGCGCUCGAAAGCCAGGCACGCUGCAGCUGCCAGCGCCACGGACGACGGCCGCCCUUCCCUCCGAUCACUGAGUGAAGGAGCGGGCCGCCGCCCACGCAGGGGCCGACCUCAACUCGGCGCACUCCCCUCCCCAGCCCUGGUGAUGAAAAUCCUUGAGGCUGAGGGAGGGGCAGAGGCUGCAGCCCGGCUCGCUUCCCCCCACCAUCAAGCUGGAGGUCGCCGUCUCGGGUGACCGCCGGUGGAGGGGUGCGACCGGGCUGCCUGAUGAAAAUCCUUGAAGCCGAACGAUGGCUGAGAGGUACCAACUCCCAUGGAGUUGCGUUCCUCCAACAAGGAGGCGGAAAGGCGGCGGAUACCACCCAUCCGGGGGCUUGGAAGAUGGAAGGACACGACACAUAAGGGAGGAAGAAGACAUGGUUGCCUUCUGAAAGGAGUCUCCCUCCUUUUAAAGGCAACUCUCCCUACGUGCGCCCCCAGACGCCGCGGGCUAAGUCUUCUCCAACACGCUCCAAGGCCCUCCCCUGCGACUCGGGGGCUGGGUCCCGCAUGUCAUGCAAACCGGCUCAGGGCAGAAGAAGCCAAACCACCGCGCGUGGUGCGCACGACCGCCCAGCGGUUACAAGCGACCCCCCACUUUUGCCCAGACCAACGGGCGGAAGGGGCGGCCAGCCAUGCAGGCGGCAUGCAACCGCGCCAGGUGGAUGCGCUUCUCCGACUUCUGACACGCCAGUUUGGAAGCCCAGGCCCACGCGUCAAGCAAUCGGCGCGCCAGUUGCUGCACGCACGCAACCGCACCGCCACUUGUGCCACCGUCGCGCCUCUUCGGUUGCGGAGCCUAUGCCGCGACUCGAGGCGACCCAGCAGCGCCAGCCUGGCGCGUCGGUCAAAGCGACCGAAAGUGGGCCGGCAGUAAUGGCGGUGGCAGGCGGGCGGGCGCAGCAGUCACGUCGUCAGCCAGGCUCACGUCCCGUCCCGGGACAGCAAGAGAGCCUCCUCUCACGGCGUGAAGACGGUGCACCCGUGACCCGUUCCUCGAACGGAUCGCGCACGCGCAACGGCCGCCCCGCCAACCACUCGCCCCGUCGCAUUAACUCCGCGGCGGGACAGGCGGCGCCUCUGGCGGGAGAAGCGCGCGACGCUUCACCUUCACCGUAAUAACCGCGUCAGAAAAGGUACGCCACGUCAUUCGAUUUCGUAUCCUUUUCCUUUUUCCUCUUUCUCUAUCUCUUGCAACAGUGACCGGGAAAGGGGGAUACCCCGAAAAGGACCCUUCUCCGCGAAGGAACCGGGCUCUGAGCCCCCCCUACUGAUCAGGGGUUCGAAGACUGGCCCUCCGAAGGGUUCAACAGUCGCCUCAGAUCGCGUGGGCCCGACACCCACUACUGGUCAGGGGUUCGAAGGCCAGCCCCCCGAAGGGUUCCAUGGCCGCCUCAGGCUACUCGGGCUCCGCGCCCAUUACUGAUCAGGGGUUCGAAGGCUGGCCCCCGAAGGGUUCACAGUCGCCUCAGACACCGAGCGAUGGAUGACCAGGGGUACGUUCGAUACAUAACCAAGGCUCGGGCUGCGCUCCCGAGGUACCCUAGGACAUUUCCGAGACCAGCGGGAACGAUCUUGUAACGGAAUCCCAUCGGAGGGAGGCAUCGAGCCCUCGGACCCCGUCGCCAGGGGACCGGGUCUGGCAAAUCACCCGCAGGUACUUUUGGGCGUGCCUCCGGGCCCCUAGCCGACCCCCAACGAACGGGGCACGGACGUCCACUCGGAUUACCCGCUUGCAGCUCACCGGAGACACCAUGUUCGGUGCCCAUCGAGGGUAACAUGGCGCACUCCCCCCCUCCUCCUUGCGGAAAGGCGACGUAGGGGCGUAUGUAAAAAGUCGAGUCUGUCCCUGAUCGUCCUCUCGCCCUGUGCAGAGGCUCGGGGGCUGCUCUCGCAAAAACUGGCUCCGGCCAAACCGUUGACAACGUCAACAUACCAGUCCGAGAGCUUGGGCCCCGACCGUGCACCCGGGCUACGGCCAGUUCGCAUGAGGGAACGACCAGACCAGCCGAAGCGUUACGCGAGGUAUUAAUACCUCGAAGGAGUGUAACCACUCCUCCGAGGCCUCGGGGGCUACACCCGGCGGGUGCGCUCGCGCGCACCCACCGGAACAAAAUGCAACCGAGAAAGGCUGGUCCCCUUGCAAAAAAGUGCGACGAAAGCCUCCAAGCGAGUGCUAACACUCCCUUCGAGGCUCGGGGGCUACUGUCGGGGACCAUAAUUAGGGGUACCCUCAAGACGCCUAAUUCUCAGCUGGUAACCCCCAUCAGCAUAAAGCUGCAAAGGCCUGAUGGGUACGAUUAAGUCAGGGAUCAGUCCACACGAGUGACUCGAUCACGCUUCACCCGAGCCUAGCCUCGGCCAAGGGCAGCCGACCUCGAGAGACUUCCGUCUCGCCCGAGGCCCCCCUUUUUACGGCGGACACAUCACCGGCUCGCCCAAGGCCUUGGCUUCGCUCAGAAGCAACCUUGACUAAAUCGCCACACCGACUGACCAAAUUGCAGGAGCAUUUAACUCAAAGGUGGCCUGACACCUUUAUCCUGACACGCGCCCCCGGCAGAGCCGAAGUGACCGCCAUCACUCCACCGCUCCACUGACCAGUCUGACAGAAGGACAGCGCCGCCUGCGCCACUCCGACUGCGGUGCCACUCGACAGAGUGAGUCUGACAGGCAGUCAGGCCUUGCCAAAAGCGCCACGGCGAACUCUGCUCCGCCCGACCCCAGGGCUCGGACUCGGGCUAAGACCCGGAAGACGGGGAACUCCGCUCCGCCCGACCCCAGGGCUCGGACUCGGGCUAAGACCCGGAAGACGGCAAACUCCGCUCCGCCCGACCCCAGGGCUCGGACUCGAGCUAAGACCCGGAAGACGGCGAACUCCGCUCCGCCCGACCCCAGGGCUCGGACUCGGGCUAAGACCCGGAAGACGGGGAACUCCGCUCCGCCCGACCCCAGGGCUCGAACUCGGGCUAAGACCCGGAAGACGGUGAACUCCGCUCCACCCGACCCCAGGGCUCGGACUCGGGCUAAGACCCGGAAGACGGCGAACUCCGCUCCGCCCGACCCCAGGGCUCGGACUCGGGCUAAGACCCGGAAGACGGCGAACUCCGCUCCGCCCGACCCCAGGGCUCGGACUCGGGCUAAGACCCGGAAGACGACGAAACUCCGCCUCGCCCGACCCCAGGGCUCGGACUCGGGCUAAGACCCGGAAGACGACGAAACUCCGCCUCGCCCGACCCCAGGGCUCGGACUCCGCCCUGGCCUCGGCCGAACGACUUCCGCCUCGCCCGACCCCAUGGCUCGGGCUCGGCCUCGGCAACAGAGGACAGACUCAACCUCGGCUUCGGAGGAGCCCCCACGUCACCCUGCCUAGGGCACAGACCCGCCACGUCAACAGGAAGCGCCAUCAUCAUCCUACCCCGAAUCGACUCGGGUCACGGAGAACAAGACCGGCGUCCCAUCCGGCCUGCUCCGCCGGAUGGGCAAUAAUGGCGCUCCACAAACUCUAUGACGACGGUGGCCCCCCAGCUCUCUUACGGAAGCAGGACGACGUCAGCAGGGACUCGACCGCUCCAACAGCUGUCCCUCCGCCAGGCUCCGUCGCACCUCCGACCGCCACGACAUCACGCCAGCAAGGUGCCAAGACCUCUCCGGCUGCCACAUUGGCAUGUACCAAGGGCGCUAGUUCUCCUUCCGCUAGACACGUAGCACUCUGCUACACCCCCCAUUGUACACCUGGAUCCUCUCCGUACGACUAUAAAAGGGAGGACCAGGGCCUUCUUAGAGGAGGUUGGCCGCGCGGGGCCGAGGACGGGACAAGCGCUCUCUUGGGGCCGCUCGCUUCCCUCACCCGCGUGGACGCUUGUAACCCCCCUACUGCAAGCGCACCUGACCUGGGCGCGGGACGAACACGAAGGCCGCGGGACUUCCACCUCUCUCACGCUCGACUCCGGCCACCUCGCCUCUCCCCCCUUUGCGCUCGCCCACGCGCUCGACCCAUCUGGGCUGGGGCACGCAGCACACUCACUCGUCGGCUUAGGGACCCCCCUGUCUCGAAACGCCGACAAAUGUAUAUUACAUGUGUACCUUCGGCUUGCUCGAAGGCGAAAGCGCGAAUGCAAUUCCAAUCCAGCGUGAACGGUAGGCCCCCUUCCAGACGGUCUCUCGAAAGAUUACUGACAUUGCCUUUGUUGGUGAGAUUUAGUAACAAUUGAUACCUUUUCUGUCUCUCGAAAGAUCGAUGUCCAAAUUGUUGGCACCGAUCCGGUCGCCAAACACGGGAACAAACCGCCUGGCGGGGCUCUCUGCGGAGGCGCAGACGGUCCGUGCCACGGGGUCUGACGGUCCAUAUGCCACGGGGCCGGACGGUCCGCGACCUGGCGCAGGAGCGGCUCCUCCUCUGCACACUUCCAGACGGUCUGCGCCUAGGGCCGGACGGUCCGCGAUAGGGCAAAGGGUCUUCUUCUCCGCGAAGAACCCUAGAACUCGCCCCGGGAGAGAUUCUGUCGAGGGGGAGAGUUCCAAGGGGUAGCUCCGGGGUGGAGGCCGCCCGGUUCUCCUCUAAUCGGCGUAGAGUCGAGUAGAGAUGGUUGUCGAAGACUAAACUAGAUCUAAUCUUAAGACUAAAUUACUCCUACUCCUAGGAAUUGGAAGAACGAAAAGAUAAAACUGAUAAAUAGAUUUGAUUUGAUUGAUUGUGGGAUCAAUCGGUCGUAGCCCUUCAUCUAUAUAAAGAGGGAGGUCUGAACCCGUUUACAAGUUGUUUCCCGAGUUAAUCUCACAGUUAUAGCUAGCAAAUCCUACAAGAAACUCGGAACCCUAACUGAUUCUGCGUACGCACGGACCGUCCGCGCCACCACUGCGAACCGUCCGCACGGUCAAUUUGUGCUUUCAACACAAAUCAUCCUAUAUAAUUUUAGUGCCACACCUAACAUUGCAAAAAACAAGUAUAGUAUCUUACGUUCUUUAUUCUCUUGUGUGUAAUUGUGUUGAUUUUCCUUAUUUUCUCCUGAACUUGUACUUCGGAACCUUUCCUUGAAGGCCACAAGUUUGCCUAAUGUCAGCACCCCCGAUCGAUAAGCACGGAGAACCUAGCAAAUUGUAAGCAACAAAGCAGUGGACAUUAUCAGCUCCAAAGUAAGAGAGGCCAGCCGCCAUUUCCGAGGCCGAACGGAGCUGUUAUAAGAAGAAAUCCCACCUCGCUCGCCAGUCUCACCAUCCGCUCCUUGACUUCCUCGCUGGCCCAUAAAUAUAUAUCUAUCUAUCGCCAUCGAGCAAUUAUAAUCUCACAGAAUAAUAAAAAUCAUGGGGCAAGCCUCACGGCUCGUCCUCCUCGCCGUCGUGGCGCUGCUGUCCGCCGGCCUCCUCCCGCAGGCGCUGGGUAAGGGUAGGGGAGGCAGGGGACACGGUGGCGCCGUCAACCCGCAGGUCGCCGGCAUCUGCUCUCGCACCCCGUUCCCGGAGGUGUGCACGUCCACCGCCGGGCGGCACGCGUCCAAGUACCCGGUCAUCGACAACCUGGCCGUGCUGAACAUGCAAGUGGACGCGUUCGCCAAGCGCACCGCGCAGGCGCGCAAGCACGUCGCGAAGUCGGCCCGCACCAUCCCGCCGCAGCAGACGCAGGCGCUCACGUUCUGCGACACCAUGUACAUGAACACGCAGGACACCAUCGGCGCGGCGCAGCGGGCCAUCACGUUCAAGGACACCGGCACCGCCAAGAUCAUGCUGCAGCUCGCCGUCCAGGACUUCGACUCGUGCGACCGCCCCUUCACCCAGGCCGGCGUCCCCAACCCCAUGGGGAAGUUUGACAAGGAGCUCAACCAGAUGGCCAACAACUGCAUGGCUCUUGCAAACAUGAUAUGAACCACGCAUGCAACCCCAGCGUGAGGUGCCAUCGCAUGCAGGGAAUGCUUGCAUUCAUUUUUCAUUUAAUUGAGAAUUCAUUGAAAUUAUGAGUUAUAUAUAUUGAGUAACUCUAUGUAUUUGUUCCUGACCUGCAACUAUUUAUUCAUUAGUAUGUCAUGAAACGAGGUAGAGCGCCUUUCAUUGCCUUUAUCCUUCAGUUUGAUCCUUUCAUUGUUCAACUUUUAAUUAUACCACGUCUUUGCCUUGAGACAAGUAUAAUUACCUAAUUAGAAGCUCCCCUAAGUAUUACUAAAGAAAUACUUUAUUUAGGAGAUGCCUCUAUU
rnacentral:lncRNA from 1 species